rnacentral:lncRNA from 10 species
UGCUUCGCUCGGUUUCUUCCAAGGGUAACCUUUUCUUUCUUUCUUUUUUUUUUUUUUUUGAGAUGGAGUCUCACUCUGUUGCCUAGGCUGGAGUGCAGUGGCAUGAUCUCAGCUAACUGCAGCCUUUGCCUCCUGGGUUCAAGCUAUUCUCCUGCCUCAGCCUCCCAAGUAGCUGGGAUUACAGGUGCCUGCCACCACGCCUGGCUAAUUUUUUUUUUUUUUUUGUAUUUUUAGUAGAGAUAGGGUUUCACUACAUUGGCCAGGCUGGUCUUGAACUCCUGACCUCAGGUGAUCCACUGGCCUUGGCCUCCCAAAGUGCUGGGAUUACAGGCGUGCGCUACCGUGCCCAACCCAAGGCUAUCAUUUUGCAUAACUUGGUGCAAUAUUACACCCUCCGCUGUGGGGAGGGGCAUCUGGGAGCCCCUGUGGCCACUCAUUGGUUCUCUCCAUUUCCAGAAUUGUGGCUGCAGGGAGCUGUGCAGAGGAAGUUGUCCUGGAGGCCGCCUGUUGAGAGGCCACUUUCACUCCGGAGAGUCUCUGUAGUUCCCCCUGGCGGCUAUGCCAUUCAGCGGCACCGCCUUCCUGUGGCUGGGCUGUCUCCCCUGGUGCCCAUGGAACCAGCUGAACCCUUUGCCAUUGAAGGACAUCUGGGCUGCUUCCCAGGUUUUGCCUAAAACAAGUAAAGCUGCUGUGAACACUCAUGAGCAGGUUUUUGUAUGAACAUGACUUUCAUUUCUCUGGGGCGCAUCAGGGGGUCGUGGGAGUUGCGUGUCUAGUUUGAUAAGAAACAGCCAAGCUGUCUUCCAGAGCGGCUGCUCCAUCGUCCACUCCCAGCAGCAGCAGAUGGAGCGUCUCUCUGUCACUCAGGCUGGAGUGCAAUGGUGUGAUCUCGGCUCACUGCAUAAUCCACCUUCUGGGUUCAAGCAAUUCUUCUGCCUUAGCUUUCUGAGUAGCUGGGAUUACAGGAGCGCACAACCACACCUGGCUGAUUUUUAUAUUUUUAGUAGAGACAGGGUUUCACCAUGUUGGCCAGACUGGUCUCAAACUCCUGACCUCAAGUGAUCCUCCUGCUUUGGCCUCCCAAAGUGCUGGUAUUACAGGCUUGAGCCACCGCAUCCAGCAACAGUUUAUUUUUUAUUUAGCCGUUCUGAUAGGUGUAUAAUGAGAUCUCACCGUGAAUUUUUUGUUUGUUUAGAAACAGGGUUUGCUAUGUUGCCCAGUCUGAUCUUGAACUUUGGGGCUCAAGUGAUACACCCCCCUCGGCCUCCCAAAGUCCUGGGAUGACAUGAGUGAGCCAUCGCUGCAGCCUCACCGUGGUUCUAGUGUCGGAACGCUGAGGGUGCGUGGUGUCGAACAUCUGUUCCUGUGCACGUUUGCCUUCUGCGUGUCCUCGUCAGGGAAAUAGCUCUUUACGUCGUUUGUCCAUGUUGUAAGUGGGUUGUUUUUGUGCUGUUGAAUUUUGAGAUACGUUGUGAAUAGAUCGUAGAUUCCAGUCCAUUGUCCGCUAUGCAGUUUGCAAACAUUUUCUCCCAGUCUGUAGUUUGUCUUUCCUUCCUCUUCCCUGGGUCUUUUGUGGAGAAGUUUUUAUGUCGAGGAGGUUGUCCUCUGCUGGGUUCCUACCCUCCUCUUGUUCAUGGGAUGCCCCAGCCGGGAGCUGGGUCCAGGCUUCCUGCACCACCA